rnacentral:rRNA from 1 species
CUACGGGUGGCUCCAGUGGGGAAUAUUGCACAAUGGAGGAAACUCUGAUGCAGCAACGCCGCGUGGAGGAUGACACUUUUCGGAGCGUAAACUCCUUUUAUAUAGGAAGAAAAUGACGGUACUAUAUGAAUAAGCGCCGGCUAACUCCGUGCCAGCAGCCGCGGUAAUACGGAGGGCGCAAGCGUUACUCGGAAUCACUGGGCGUAAAGAGCGUGUAGGCGGAUUAAAAAGUCAGAAGUGAAAUCCUAUAGCUUAACUAUAGAACUGCUUCUGAAACUCUUAAUCUAGAAUAUGGGAGAGGUAGAUGGAAUUUCUGGUGUAGGGGUAAAAUCCGUAGAGAUCAGAAGGAAUACCGAUUGCGAAGGCGAUCUACUAGAACAUUAUUGACGCUGAGACGCGAAAGCGUGGGGAGCAAACAGGAUUAGAUACCCCCGUAGUC